GACGAACGCUGGCGGCGUGCUUAACACAUGCAAGUCGAGCGGUAAGGCCUUUCGGGGUACACGAGCGGCGAACGGGUGAGUAACACGUGGGCGACCUGCCCUCAGCUCUGGGAUAAGCCUGGGAAACUGGGUCUAAUACCGGAUAUGACCACAUGUCGCAUGGUGUGUGGUGGAAAGUUUUUUCGGCUGGGGAGUGGGCCCGGCCGGCCUAUCAGCUUGUUGGUGGGGGUGAUGGCCUACCAAGGCGACGACGGGUAGCCGGCCUGAGAGGGCGACCGGCCACACUGGGACUGAGAUACGGCCCAGACUCCUACGGGAGGCAGCAGUGGGGAAUAUUGCGCAAUGGGCGAAAGCCUGACGCAGCGACGCCGCGUGGGGGAU
rnacentral:rRNA from 1 species